rnacentral:rRNA from 1 species
UACGUAGGGUGCAAGCGUUGUCCGGAAUUAUUGGGCGUAAAGAGCUCGUAGGCGGUUUGUUGCGUCGGCUGUGAAAUCCCGAGGCUCAACCUCGGGUCUGCAGUCGAUACGAGCAAACUAGAGUGUUGCAGGGGAGACUGGAAUUCCUGGUGUAGCGGUGAAAUGCGCAGAUAUCAGGAGGAACACCGGUGGCGAAGGCGGGUCUCUGGACAGCAACUGACGGCUGAGGCACGAAGGCCCAGGGGAGCAAACGGG